UAUCUCUAAUAAUCAAGUAGAAAUUUUUUUGUAAUUAAGCUAUUUUGAUCUAUUAGUUCAAACAAAUUGGCUGUUCAAGAAGUAAUUUGGGACGCCUGCUUGGCUCAAGAUCAUGAUUCAGGCUGAGGAUAUUUAAACCGAACAGUUCAAGUAUGAUAUCAUAUCAAGUAUGAUAGUCACAGAGUUGGACUGAAUCACAGUUUUUGAAGAUUAUGGUACUUCUUGAAGCCAUCAGGAGGAAGCUUUCGUAUUAAGUUCCACUGAAGUGACCUGAAAUAAAUGUUGACCACUGUGGGAUAAACACUUGGAGAUGCUUGACGGGCAAAAAGGACUCGGUUACAACAGCACCAUACAGUAG